rnacentral:misc_RNA from 1 species
GAUGAAGAACGUAGUGAAAUGCGAUACUUGGUGUGAAUUGCAGAAUCCCGUGAACCAUCGAGUCUUUGAACGCAAGUUGCGCCCGAAGCCAUUAGGCCGAGGGCACGCCUGCCUGGGCGUCACACGUCGUUGCCCCCCCAUCUACUCCUUCGGGAUUGCGGGGAGCGGAUGAUGGCCUCCCGUGCGCCUUGUCGCGCGGUUGGCAUAAAUGCCAAGUCCUCGGCGACGCACGCCACGACAAUCGGUGGUUGCGAAACCUCGGUUGCCCGUCGUGUGCGGUCGUCGCGCAUCGAGGGCUCGAAAAAAUUGUCGGGCUCCGGCUCGGCUUUCAACGCGACCCCAGGUCAGGCGGGGUUACCCGCUGAAUUUAAGCAUAUCAAUAAGCGGAGGA